UUUGGAUAUAGAAAGAAUAUUACUACUUAUAUAAAGGUAGAAACUAAUUACUUACAUCAAGAAGAAGAGUUACGGUAAGACAGGAUCACCAUUCUCCUCUCACGACAUAAAUUUAAUAUUGAAUCGUAUUCGCCUCUUUUAUUAUCUGGAAAUGACUGAAAACAUGUUUCUACUCAAUCCAAGCUUAUUUAUAAUUUGAAAUAAUUUAUUUGAAACACCAUCUGCAUAUCAAUUGCAAAUUAAUUACUGUCCUAGUCAUAUUAAAGAAGUACCACUACUGAAAGAAAUUGUUGAUCAAGCGUGUACAACAGAAAAGCAUAGACAAAUUCAUCAGUUAAAGCCUCAUUAAGCUCUCAUAUACAUUUAAAUCCGACUGUCAAAAAAUUAUCACACAAUGAAUAUUCAACAACUGAAGAAAUAUCAUAACUGACAAUUUUAUCAAUCAAGCAAGUAAAACUACAAAGGUCAGCACCAACUAUUAAGUAUUGCAAUAAUAUUUUCAAAACAUACAAAAAAUAAUUUUAUAAAAAACCUAAAUUUUCACAUUGUUGCAUAAAACUUUUUAUGUCAAGAUCAGCACAACGUUUCUUAAACUAACCACAAUCAUGCAGAACCAAAAACUUACUUCAUAAGGUAUGAAAGUAUUUUAGAAUCUUAGUAUAAAACCAACAGUAGCAAAAUAUUUAAUUUGAAAUUAUAAAAAUUACCCAAUAGAUAUAAACCUCAUCGCGGUUGUUAUCGAUUAUUUCUUUCAUCCAUAAAGUCUCCAAAAAUGAUACAUGUUAGUAUCCACAAAUUAUUUGACUUCAUGGGGUUGAUCUUCACUUGAGGCCAGCAGACAUAACUAUCUCAUCAUGAAUAGAUGAUUUGAACACAAGAACCUUCAUGUUAGUAGCCUUACUGAGGAAACUUUCGAGAACAUUGAAUGUCUCUUUUGUUGAUCAUUCUUAAAGGUAAAGUAAAGACUUACGGGACUACCUCAUUAUAAGGAAACCACCGAUCACUGGAGAAUUGACUUUCAGUUGAAUAACUUGACAUUUGAUCCUUUUUUAUCAUCCGUAAUUUCAUGAUAUGGAUAUGAAAUUUCCUGAUAUUUCAAGUGUCAUGGUAGUUUGAUACUGAACUCAAGUUGUAACUCUGUAGAAGUAUGAGUGAAAGAAAUGAAAGCAUUAAAAUAAAAAAUACUAUACUAUCAAAAAGAGACGAUGUACCAAUAAAAUAUAACUUUUAUUGUCAGAAAGCGUCAAAGUUAUAAAAAACACAAUGACAAAAAUCAAAAUUGAUCUCAAAAGAAUAUCUGUAUAAAUUUACAGAGAAUCUUAACCUAAUUUUUGUAUAUAUUGUAGCUCCAUAAGUUGUAUUUCAAACGGCACAAACAGAUCAUAGUUUUGACAUGUUUGCAAAAAGAUAUAAUUUUUUUAGUGAGGACGCGUAAAGGAUACCAAUAUAUGUUAAAUAAAUUCAAAAGCAUAUAUUUAUGAAUAUACAAAGAAUCUAGAUCUGUUUUUUGUAUAUAUUUGGUUCUCGAAGAGCUCUUUUCAACGGCACAAGCGAAUCAUGAUUUUGAGGCAUCUACAAAAAGAUAUAACUUUUUUAGUCAAGACGUGUUGUUUCUAAAAAUUUCAUCAUUCAUGGGUAGAAUUAUUUGAGGAAAGAAGGAUUGAGAAGAAAGAAAGUGUAAAGAAAAGAGAUGUGACCUCUUCUGUGACCUAACUUCAUGAGGUUGAUAAAAUGGUGUAUCUCCACGCCAAAAUUGUCUACUUCAACAUCUGAUGAAAGUUGAAAACAAUAGAUUUGUUGGCAGGGAUAAAAGUCACUAAAUUAAAUAAUUAUUUUCUUGAUAGGUUGAAUGUCUAUAAGAAUAAGUUAUGGCCGUCCAUUAGAAUUAUUAUUUCAAGCCCACAUUUGAAAAGACAAACUGGUGGUUUUAUUUUUCUUUUCCUACUUCAUUGUAA
rnacentral:lncRNA from 1 species